UACAGAGGUCCCGAGCGUUGUUCGGAUUCAUUGGGCGUAAAGGGUGCGUAGGCGGCGGGGAAAGUCUGAUGUGAAAUCCUGGGGCUCAACCCUGGAACUGCAUUGGAUACUUCCUUGCUAGAGUACUGGAGAGGAAACUGGAAUUUACGGUGUAGCAGUGAAAUGCGUAGAGAUCGUAAGGAACACCAGUGGCGAAGGCGACUCUUUGGUCUGUAACUGACGCUGAGGCGCGAAAGCGUGGGGAGCAAACAGG
rnacentral:rRNA from 1 species